GUCGAGAAUAAUUCACAAUGGGGGAAACCCUGAUGGUGCAACGCCGCGUGGAGGAUGAAGGUCUUCGGAUUGUAAACUCCUGUCAUCUGGGAGUAAGACCUGACGGUGAAUAGCCGGCAGGGUUGAUAGUACCAGAAGAGGAAGGGACGGCUAACUUCGUGCCAGCAGCCGCGGUAAUACGAAGGUCCCAAGCGUUGUUCGGAAUCACUGGGCGUAAAGGGAGCGUAGGCGGCGUGGUACGUCAGAUGUGAAAUCCCGGGGCUCAACCCCGGACCUGCAUCCGAUACUGCCAUGCUUGAGGGUUGGAGAGGUAGCUGGAAUUCUCGGUGUAGCAGUGAAUUGCGUGGAUAUCGAGAGGAACACUCGUGGCGAAGGCGAGCUACUGGACAACAUCUGACGCUGAGGCUCGAAGGCCAGGGGAGCAAAAGGGAUUAGAUACCCGGGUAGUCC
rnacentral:rRNA from 1 species